AACGAACGCUGGCGGCAUGCCUAACACAUGCAAGUCGAACGAGACCUUCGGGUCUAGUGGCGCACGGGUGCGUAACGCGUGGGAGCCUGCCCUUAGGUUCGGAAUAACUCCCCGAAAGGGGUGCUAAUACCGGAUAAUGUCUUCGGACCAAAGAUUUAUCGCCUUUGGAUGGGCCCGCGUUGGAUUAGCUAGUUGGUAGGGUAAAAGCCUACCAAGGCGACGAUCCAUAGCUGGUCUGAGAGGAUGAUCAGCCACACUGGGACUGAGACACGGCCCAGACUCCUACGGGAGGCAGCAGUGGGGAAUAUUGGACAAUGGGCGAAAGCCUGAUCCAGCAAUGCCGCGUGAGUGAUGAAGGCCUUAGGGUUGUAAAGCUCCUUUACCCGGGAUGAUAAUGACAGUACCGGGAGAAUAAGCUCCGGCUAACUCCGUG
rnacentral:rRNA from 1 species